rnacentral:rRNA from 1 species
CCGUAAACGAUGCCAACUAGCGAUCCGCCGGCGGCUUCUCGGCCCUGGUGGGGAGCUUCCCGGAAACGAAAGUCUUCCGGUUCCGGGGGAAGUAUGGUUGCAAAGCUGAAACUUAAAGGAAUUGACGGAAGGGCACCACCAGGAGUGGAGCCUGCGGCUUAAUUUGACUCAACACGGGAAAACUCACCCGGCCCGGACACCGUGAGGAUUGACAGAUUGAUAGCUUUUUCAUGAUUCGGUGGUUGGUGGUGCAUGGCCGUUCUUAGUUCGUGGAUCGAUUUGUCUGGUUUAUUCCGAUAACGAGCGAGACUCCAGCCUACUAACUAGUGCGGGCAUUGCCUCUGUGCUUGUCACUUCUUAGAGGGAUUGGCUGCGUCUAGCGGCACGAAACGGAGCAAUAACAGGUCUGUGAUGCCCUUAGAUGUCCGGGGCUGCACGCGCGCUACACUGGCAAAGGCAACGUGCUUGUCCGCCUCCGAAAGGAGCCGGUAAACCCUUGAAAAUUUGCCGUGAUUGGGAUCGGAAAUUGCAAUUAUUUUCCGUGAACGAGGAAUUCCUAGUAAGUGCGAGUCAUCAGCUCGCGUUG